GCCGGGCGGGGCUAGGAUCGGGCGCGAUGGCGAGCGGAGCGGGAGCGGGACGGGGACGGAGACGGAGGGAAGCCGAGGGCGGCUGAUGGAGUCGCUGGCCGCCUACGUGUACAAGGCGGCGAGCGAGGGCCGGGUGCUGACGCUGGCCGCGCUGCUGCUCAACCGCUCGGAGGUGGAGAGCCGGCGGCUGUUGGCGCAGGUGAGCCCGGGGCCUGGUGUGGGGCCUGGUGUGGGCCCGGGGCCUGGGCCUGGGCAGCGGGCCACGCCGCUGAUCGCCGCCUCCCGUAACGGCCACGCCAAGGUGGUGAGGCUGCUGCUGGAACACUACGGCGUGGAGACGGAGCAGGCCGGCACCGUCCGCUUCGACGGCUACGUGAUCGACGGCGCCACGGCGCUGUGGUGCGCGGCCGGAGCCGGACACCUGGACGUGGUCAAGCUGCUGGUGGCCGGCGGCGCCAACGUCAACCACACCACGGCCACCAACUCCACCCCGCUCCGCGCCGCCUGCUUCGACGGCAGGCUCGACAUUGUGCGCUUCCUGGUGGAGAACCGCGCCGACAUCCGCAUCGCCAACAAGUACGACAACACAUGCCUGAUGAUCGCCGCCUACAAGGGCCACAGCCAGGUGGUCAGGUACCUGUUGGAGCAGCACGCUGAUCCCAAUGCCAAGGCACAAUGUGGAGCCACUGCACUACACUUUGCGGCUGAAGCUGGCCACCUAGAGAUCGUGAGGGAGCUGGUGAAGUGGCGGGCAACCAUGGUGGUGAAUGGGCACGGCAUGACUCCCCUGAAGGUGGCGGCAGAGAGCUGCAAGGCUGACGUGGUGGAGCUGCUGCUGUCGCAUGUGGACUGCGACCUUGAGAGUCGCAUCGAGGCCCUGGAGUUGCUGGGUGCCUCCUUCGCCAACGACCGGGAGAACUACGACAUCGAGAAGACCUACCACUACCUGUACCUGGCCAUGCUGGAGCGGCACCGUGACUCUGACCAUCCGCUGGACAAGGACACCCUCCCUUCCAUCGAGGCCUACAGUGGGCGCACAGAGAGCAGGACGCCGCAGGAGCUGGAGUCUAUCCGGCAGGACAGGGACGCCCUUCAUAUGGAAGGGCUGAUUGUCCGCGAGCGGAUCCUGGGCUCCGACAACAUUGACGUUUCGCACCCCAUCAUCUACAGGGGGGCCGUGUACGCGGACAGCAUGGAGUUCGAGCAGUGCAUCAAGUUGUGGCUCCACGCCUUGCACUUGAGGCAGAAGGGCAACCGCAACACCCACAAAGACCUCCUCCGCUUUGCUCAGGUCUUCUCACAGAUGAUUCACCUCAACGAGCCCGUGAAAGCCAGGGACAUCGAGAAUGUCCUGAAGUGCAGCGUGCUGGAAAUAGAAAGGGGCAUGUCGCGAAUCAAAAGCUCGUCGGACAUCGACGUCCACGCUGCCAUGGACAAUUGCGAAUCGAACAUUUUUACCUUUCUGUACCUGGUCUGCAUCUCCACCAAAACCCAGUGCAAUGAUGAGGAGCGGGCACGCAUCAACAAACAGAUCUACAAGCUGGUUCACCUCAAUCCCCGGACCCGGGAGGGUUCCAGCCUGUUGCAUCUGGCGGUGAACUCUGGCACACCGGUGGAUGACUUCCACACCAGCGACGUGUGCAGCUUUCCCAGCGCUCAGGUCACCAAGCUGCUGCUGGACUGCGGCGCUGACAUGAAUGCGGUGGACAAGGACGGCAAUGGGCCGCUGCACAUUAUCGUGCAGUACAACCGCCCCAUCAGUGACUUCCUCACCCUGCAUGCCAUCAUCAUCAGCUUGGUGGAGGCCGGCGCCCAUGCUGACAUGACCAACAAACAGAAGAAGACUCCGCUGGACAAGAGCACAACUGGUGUGUCCGAAAUCCUCCUCAAGACUCAGAUGAAGAUGAGCCUGAAGUGCCUGGCUGCCCGAGCAGUGAGAGUUAACAACAUCAGUUACAAAAGUCAGAUCCCUCAGUCCUUAGAAGAAUUUGUAGAAUUGCAUUGACUCUUGAGAUAUUCAGAUGAUUCUUUACCAGACUGGUACUAGGUAUGUCCAUAACGCAUUGGUUUAUGGAAUUGGCCUGCUCAUUGUAUGCUUUGUCUUAUCCUGUCUUCAUUCCAAACCCAUUCCACAGCAAUUCAGAUUGUCAUUGGUGCUUUGUCAAAUCGGCCAGUGUGAUGCAAAGUGGGUACAAAAGUAAACUUUCAUAAAGAUGUACCAAUGUAAGGUGAAGAUCAAACCUUCUGUCUUCCAAUAACAAUAGAAUAUGAGAGGUGGGAGCAGGCCAUAUUUGUUAGCCCACUCCAUAAUUUAGUAAGAUUAUGGUUUGUCCGUUCUUUGACCACUGUUUCUCUGCCUGAUAUCUUUAUUCCCAUUUAGUCCAAACAUGUAUCGCAACCUUGAAUUCAUUUGGUAAUUAAUCGUAAAUUAUUUUUAAAAAGAAUUAAAGAAAAUACGUCAGAGCUGCAGGUAACACAUUUUCUAUGUAAAGACUGGAUCUGUUUGUAAAUGACCAUUAGUCUGCCCUUUUGGCACAGCUGGUUUCAACUGUGAAGAGCAGGAAGAUAUUAUUUUAUCUCACACUUGUCCAUGCUGGGUUGCAGUUAAGAUUGAAGGUUUCAUUGCUCCUGUGUUACAGCAGUUGGGAAUGUUAAGAACAGCAGAGAGUACAGUUUGUUCAGUAUGUUUGGAGAAUGCCAGAGAGUUUGAGGUGCUGUUUUUGGUGAGCAAUCUUGCUGCACUGCAAUUGCUGCAGGCGCUUGAUCUGGCUGCACAUCUGACUCUUUAGUAAUACAUCCCUCGGUCACAUCUUGUUGUUACUGUGCAAGGUGUAUAUUUUGCUGCUCAAUAGAACCAAGACCUUGGAACGUUAUCAGAAAACCAAGCCCUUUAUUUGGCAAAGAGUGGCUCUAAUCCAGGCACUGAGGGGAAGGCUCCAGUCACUUGCCAAUCUUACUUUACUAGACUCUUGGAGUUAAAGGGUUGGGUAGGGUUGAGGUAAUCCAGGUGUGGUUUUUCUUAAAGAAAUGGGAAGCUGUGCCAAACGUAACUCUUCAAAUGACUGUUCACCUAUGCGAGCUGUCAAGUUAAUAUUGCACAGUUUUAUGCCCCUGUCCCACUUAGGAAACCUGAACGGAAACCUCUGGUGAGGUUGCGCCCAACCCAAGGUUUCCGUGUGGUUCCCGGAGGUUUUGGUC